rnacentral:rRNA from 1 species
UACGUAGGGCGCAAGCGUUGUCCGGAAUUAUUGGGCGUAAAGAGCUCGUAGGCGGCUUGUCGCGUCGAUUGUGAAAGCCCGGGGCUUAACCUCGGGUCUGCAGUCGAUACGGGCUGGCUAGAGUGUGGUAGGGGAGAUCGGAAUUCCCGUGGUGUAGCGGUGAAAUGCGCAGAUAUCAGGAGGAACACCGGUGGCGAAGGCGGAUCUCUGGGCCAUUACUGACGCUGAGGAGCGAAAGCGUGGGGGAGCGAACAGG